rnacentral:rRNA from 1 species
UAGUCCACGCCGUAAACGAUGUCAACUAGCCGUUGGGAGCAUAUAAGCUCUGAGUGGCGCAGCUAACGCGAUAAGUUGACCGCCUGGGGAGUACGCCGGCAACGGUAAAACUCAAAGGAAUUGACGGGGACCCGCACAAGCGGUGGAGCAUGUUCUUUAAUUCGAUGAUACGCGAGGAACCUUACCUAGGCUCGAACGCUACAGGACAGGAACUGAAAGGUUUUUUCCCUCGGGGCUUGUAGUGAGGUGCUGCAUGGUUGUCGUCAGCUCGUGCCGUGAGGUGUCAGGUUAAGUCCUAUAACGAGCGCAACCCCUGUUGUUAGUUGCCAGCGAGUAAAGUUGGGUACUCUAGCAAGACUGCCGGUGCAAACCGUGAGGAAGGUGGGGAUGACGUCAAAUCAUCACGGCCCUUACGUCCUGGGGCUACACACGUGCUACAAUGGGUCAGUACAACGAGCAGCCAC